AAGAAAACUGCCAGUGAAAUGAAAGAAGGCUGCUUUCUGAUCUGAGGAACCACUGCCCUGACAAAUCCUAUCAAGAUCUGUGCCAGGCACUGAAUCAGUUUGCAAGACAAAAGAAGGCCAGGCUGUGAUGUGGGCUAUCAAUCUGCUUAGGCUAGAAAGGGAAGAUACAAACUCAGAAGCAUACUACAGACAAGACAAUAAACAAGCAGCGAAUAGCUACAGCGGGGAAAACAACUCCCUUCGCCUUUCAGACUAACCGCAAUCAAUGAAGAUAAAGUAAAAGAAAUGAAAACACCGUAUAG